rnacentral:rRNA from 1 species
ACACGACUACAUUAGAUACCCGCGUAGUCCUAGCCGUAAACGAUACUCGCUAGGUGUCGGCCACGGUGCGACCGUUGUCGGUGCCGUAGGGAAGCCGUGAAGCGAGCCACCUGGGAAGUACGGCCGCAAGGCUGAAACUUAAAGGAAUUGGCGGGGGAGCACCACAACGGGUGGAGCUUGCGGUUUAAUUGGAUACAACGCCGGAAAUCUUACCGGGACCGACAGCAACAUGAAGGCCAGGCUGAAGACUUUGCCGGAUUAGCUG